UGUUCCUCUUAUCCACUAAUAGUUUCUCACGUCCACUCACAAAACCGAGUUUGCCAGGUUCACUUCAGACUUGGAAACAGGGCACACUUCUUAUCAAAGCACAAACGAAGCACAGGGGUGUCAUCUCCCUCUCCUGUUGCAGGGGCUGACUUUGGAGUGUUCUGUCCACGCAAGGUCUCUCCAGUAACAAUGAUGUCUCAUGCACAGUAAACCCUGAAGGUUCGGGGAGGCAUUCUGUGGCCACACUGGAAAGAACCAUGGGAGUGUUUGCACUGAGUGACCCGACAGGAGAUGGAAGAGUCUGGUUUUCCUCUCCAUACUGCACCAGGCAGAUCCUUGGGAUGAGACACUUUGACAAAGAACAGGACUCCAUCUGGCACCAAGACUAUACAUGUCCUUGAGCUAACU
rnacentral:lncRNA from 12 species